CUACGGGUCGCACCAGUGGGGAAUCUUGCGCAAUGGGCGAAAGCCUGACGCAGCAACGCCGCGUGCGGGAUGAAGGCCUUCGGGCUGUAAACCGCUUUCAGCAGGAACGAAAAUGACGGUACCUGCAGAAGAAGGAGCGGCCAACUACGUGCCAGCAGCCGCGGUGACACGUAGGCUCCAAGCGUUGUCCGGAUUUAUUGGGCGUAAAGAGCUCGUAGGCGGUUGAGUAAGUCGGGUGUGAAAACUCUGGGCUUAACCCGGAGACGCCAUCCGAUACUGCUCUGACUAGAGUUCAGGAGGGGAGUGGGGAAUUCCUAGUGUAGCGGUGAAAUGCGCAGAUAUUAGGAGGAACACCGGUGGCGAAGGCGCCACUCUGGACUGAAACUGACGCUGAGGAGCAAAAGCAUGGGUAGCAAACAGGAUUAGAUACCCCUGUAGUC
rnacentral:rRNA from 1 species